GAUGAACGCUAGCUACAGGCUUAACACAUGCAAGUCGAGGGGUAACGAGAGGAAAGCUUGCUUUCCUUGUCGACGACCGGCGCACGGGUGGGUAACGCGUAUCCAACCUGCCCCCAACUGGGGAAUAACCUUGCGAAAGUAAGACUAAUACCCUAUAAUUUCCUCAGAUGUCAUCUGACGAGGAAUAAAGAUUUAUCGGUUGUGGAUGGGGAUGCGUCUGAUUAGCUUGUUGGCGGGGUAACGGCCCACCAAGGCAACGAUCAGUAGGGGUUCUGAGAGGAAGGUCCCCCACAUUGGAACUGAGACGCGGUCCAAACUCCUACGGGAGGCAGCAGUGAGGAAUAUUGGUCAAUGGGCGGAAGCCUGAACCAGCCAAGUAGCGUGCAGGAUGACGGCCCUAUGGGUUGUAAACUGCUUUUAUACAGGAAUAAAGUUAGCCACGUGUGGUUAUUUGUAGGUACUGUAUGAAUAAGGACCGGCUAAUUCCGUGCCAGCCGCCGCCGUAA
rnacentral:rRNA from 1 species